UAGCGAAGUAGCUGAUUUCACACUGUCAAGAAAAGUCUCUAUCGAGGUUAAAGGUACCCGUACCGCAAACCGACACAGGUGGGUGAGGAGAGUAUCCUAAGGCCAGCGAGAGAACUGUUGUUAAGGAACUCGGCAAAAUGACCCCGUAACUUAGGGAUAAGGGGUGCCACCAUCCGGUGGCCGCAGAGAAUAGGCCCAAGCGACUGUUUACCAAAAACAUAGGUUUCUGCUAAGUCGCAAGACGAUGUAUAGGAGCUGACGCCUGCCCGGUGCUGGAAGGUUAAGGGGAUCUGUUAGAGCAAUCGAAGCAGUGAACUUAAGCCCCAGUAAACGGCGGCCGUAACUAUAACGGUCCUAAGGUAGCGAAAUUCCUUGUCGGGUAAGUUCCGACCCGCACGAAAGGCGUAACGAUUUGGGCACUGUCUCAACAACAGACUCGGUGAAAUUGUAAUUCCGGUGAAGAUGCCGGAUACCUGCGACAGGACGGAAAGACCCCAUGGAGCUUUACUGUAGCUUGACAUUGGGUCUUGGUACUACAUGUACAGGAUAGGUGGGAGGCUUUGAAACCAGGACGCCAGUUUUGGCGGAGCCAUCCUUGGGAUACCACCCUUGUAGUACUGGGACUCUAACCAUAGGCCAUGAAUCUGGUCUUGGGACACUGUCAGGUGGGCAGUUUGACUGGGGCGGUCGCCUCCCAAAAGGUAACGGAGGCGCUCAAAGGUUCUCUCAGUACGGUCGGAAAUCGUACGUAGAGUGUAAAGGCAAAAGAGAGCUUGAUUGCAAGACAUACAGGUCGAGCAAGGAUGAAAAUCGGACUUAGUGAUCCGGUGGUUCUGCGUGGAAGGGCCAUCGCUCAACGGAUAAAAGCUACCCUGGGGAUAACAGGCUUAUCUCCCCCAAGAGUCCACAUCGACGGGGAGGUUUGGCACCUCGAUGUCGGCUCAUCACAUCCUGGGGCUGUAGUAGGUCCCAAGGGUUGGGCUGUUCGCCCAUUAAAGUGGUACGCGAGCUGGGUUCAGAACGUCGUGAGACAGUUCGGUCCCUAUCCGUCGCAGGCGUAGGAAAUUUGAGAAGACCUGUCCUUAGUACGAGAGGACCGGGAUGGACG
rnacentral:rRNA from 1 species